UCUGAAAGAUCCUUCCAUGCUGCAGAAGUCUUGCCUUCAGAUUAUUACUGCGAGGAUAAUUGUCCAGGAAGCCAAGCCAGAGAAGUGGGACUAGGAGAUAUGCUUAAAAAAGGGCCCUGGUGGCGCAGCAGACUAAAGCACUGUUAUUAACAUCAGCUGCCAGCAAUUACUGCAAGUUCAAAUUUCACCAGGCUCAAGGUUGACUAAGCCUUCCAUCCUUUCUAAGACAGUUCUGACUAGCAGCUUGCAUGGAUACAGAAAGAAAAUCUAAAUGACCCCAAUGAAGGUUUCUUUAGAGACCUUCAAAGAUCAAGCUGUUAUAUUUAAAGCCUUUCAUGAACAUCAGUAUCUUCAGGAACAUUUUCAUUCAAUUAUCUCUAUUUAUCUACCUGAUAUGAUCACAUAGGAUUUCUGGAAUCUUUGGGGUAAGCCUUUUCAGUUGCUGCUCCUUUUUUUUUUUUUAAUAGUAUUCUUCUGUAGUGGAGUAUGGCUUUAGGAAAUCUAUUAAAUUCUGACUUUUCCAGCAGGCCUGGGGGAUGUACAUGGCAUGAAGUACAUCAUGUUUCAGUGUAUUUCAAAUCAAGUAUGACCCACUGGAGUCAAAUGACAAUUCACUCCAGUAUUUUACCCAGAAACACUGGAAGCUGACUCACACAACCCCUCUGUCCAGCCAGAAGAUAUCCAACAAGCUACUGAGGAAAAGCAGAGGGCAAUCACAACUAAUGCUUCUGCAUAUGAUGUAGCUGCACUGAAGACAUCCAGCUAUUGUUGUGGCCAAAGGCAAAGAGAAGUCUGAUGCUACACGGACAUCUAAAUUAAUGAUCUGUGGAAUGUCAAAACUGAAAACCAAAACAAGCCUGAUGUACCUGGAGAAGAAGUAUCAAGACUGAUCAGGAACAUUCAUUAUUGGACUGGACUGCACCGGAUCAUUUAGUAUAAGGAAAGUAGAAGAUAACCCACUGGAGACAAGAAAAUCAUAGAAAAAAAAUAGAAUCGCCAUCAUUAUUAAGAAAGGAGUCUCAAAGACAGAGCUCAGAUACAAGCCCCAAAAUGAUUGAAUGAUCUCAGAGCCCAGUGCAAGCCAAUCGUUAUUAUGGUGAUCCACAUCAAUGCUCCAAUCACAGAUACAGAGGAAACAGAUGCAGAAUGGUUCUACAGCAGUGGUGAAAUCCAGCAGGUUCUGACAGGUUCUGGAGAACUGGUAGCGGAAAUUUUGGCUGGCAAAUACCAUCUCUGGCUGGCCCAGAGUGGGGAGGGAAUGGAGAUUUUGCAGUAUCCUUCCCCUGCCACGCCCACCAAGCCACACCACGCCCACCAAGCCAUACCACGCCCACCAAGCCACGCCCACAGAACUGGUAGUAAAAAAAUUUGGAUUUCACCACUAUUCUACAGCCACCUGCAGUAUCUUAUUGAUGCA